ACCUUCCGGGUGGAACACUAAAGAAAUACUUAAUUAGGAAUUGGAGAAAGAAACUUGCCUUUGGGGUUGUGAUUCAACUUGCUUUGGACCUUUCUAGAGGUUUGAGCUAUCUUCACUCGAGCAGGACCCUCCUAGAGCCUUAUUUUGUUGAUUUAAAAUAAUUAUGGUUUGUUAAAUAGUGAUGAAGUUCUGGUUUGGAAGAUGCUCAGUGUGUUUGUUCUGGUUUCCCUCUUUCCCAUAAUGGCAGAUUCUUUCUAAGUAGUAUUUUUGUAAUGUCUUUCUUCAUUCAGAUGCCAUUAAUCAUGAAGAAAUGGAUGAUGAUUUUACUGUGGCACAAAUGAUUUUAUCUGGAGAGUUAAAUAGUGAUGAAGUUUGUGUUAUCCUGUAUGUAUAUUCAUUGCCAAGAUGUUUAUAAUAUCUAACUGUUACUUAGUUGAGCAAAUUAUUUGAUGGCAAUAAGAAGGUACAUGUUGCAAAUUUAGUUAAUAAGUGACUGGAUUUAGUUAUACAUUUGAGAAUUUUUGUCACC